rnacentral:rRNA from 1 species
GAAUAUUGGACAAUGGGGGGAACCCUGACCCAGCCAUGCCGCGUGUGUGAAGAAGGCCUUUUGGUUGUAAAGCACUUUAAGCGAGGAGGAGGCUACUGAGAUUAAUACUCUAGGAGAGUGGACGUUACUCGCAGAAUCAGCACCGUCUAACCACGUGCCAGCCGCCGCGGUAAUACAGAGGGUGCCAGCGUUAAUCGGAUUUACUGGGCGUAAAGCGCGCGUAGGUGGCCAAUUAAGUCAAAUGUGAAAUCCCCGAGCUUAACUUGGGAAUUGCAUUCGAUACUGGUUGGCUAGAGUAUGGGAGAGGAUGGUAGAAUUCCAGGUGUAGCGGUGAAAUGCGUAGAGAUCUGGAGGAAUACCGAUGGCGAAGGCAGCCAUCUGGCCUAAUACUGACACUGAGGUGCGAAAGCAUGGGGAGCAAACA